rnacentral:lncRNA from 1 species
UGGAUGGAAAAGUAAAACUGUAAAAUAUAUUCCCUUCAGGUUCUCCUUUGAAAACAAGACUUCAAGGUAAUUAAAACCAGGCAUGGCAACCACAACACCUUCAUCAUAUCGUAUUGCGAAGAAAAUUACCCGCCACUACAAUCAUAUCUCGUUUUUACGUACAUGGCUCAUAAAAGAAUAUCCCGCUCUUUGACUUAUUUAUUACAGAGGAGAAAAAAAUGAAAGCAGUUGCUCAUCCACAAACCUAACACUGCUCAUUGUCACGGCGGUGGUACUGAUAUUCUUUUUUCUUCCGGUGGGUUUUAUCGUCUACUGGUGUACGAAAAAAAAUUAUCUGCAAUGUCAGGGAGAAGGAUUACUGGGCGCUCCCGCCAGGGCAACGACGAUACAAGCAAUUACAUACAGGUCAGCUCCUGCAAAAUCAAACCUCUUCUUUUCUUAUGAAACUCGUGGAGCUGCUCACUCCUGAAGGUAGGCCAAACUGGAAAGAUCUAGCGGCAAAUUUUGGCGAUUUCGCUUACGAGGAAAUCGCGAACUUCGGAGUUGGCAAAACUACAGUGGAGACCAAAAUCACGUCAACCAUCGACAAAUUAUAUAGAUGUUGUCUCAACAUUAAGAAGGAAGAUGUGGCGACGUACAUUGCCGAUUGUGUAAGCCAAAUAACAGACACUACACUUGUGUAGACAAUUGGCCUUUUUUGACAGGCGAUAUCCGCCGUUUCCUGCAUGCCUAUAUGGGUACCAAGUGAGCACACGACUUCGUUUCGACGUGGAAUUUUGGUUGAACUUUUGUCGCGACGUCGAUCAGCGGGAAAUCGACGUUGUUUCCACGUCAAGGUCAUUUCCACGACGUCGAAUCAAUGUCGCUUGUCAACGUUGUUUCAAGGUUGAAACAUGGUCGAUACGUAGUUAUAUACGUACAGGGUCGUUCGGCAACCAAAAAUCGACUGGCUUUCAAUAUUGCCGCAUUGCCGUGUUAACACAACCUACGACUUCAACAUUGCCGUGUUAACAAACCUACGACUUAAUUUUUUACGGCGAAUUGGUUAGCUGAUAGUGUCUGAUACUGUAUAAAAUAUUUCGAGAAAUUUGUACGUUCUUGAAAAAAGCGUUAAUGCAGGAUUCCGGGAGUCGGUUUGUAGUAUAGUUUACAGCUAUAGCCCGUGGACAGACACAUUAAAAUAAACAAUUGGCCGUGGAAAAAAUUAUUGUUCCUUAUACUUAGCUCUUUGACUCGAGUUCGUUUUUCCGGAGCAAGAGAUUUAAGGGGCGGCUGCCAUUCUGCGAAACACAGAUUGGAUAAUCUUUAUUUGUUUGUUAUUGUUGACUGGCAUACCAAGAGAAGUUUUUGGAAGGUAAGAUGAGUGGAUAGAUUCAUAAACAUUCCGAUGCCUAAUGAGUUAGCCCAUUAACAGGCAAAAAACCUUUGUCGACCCCCAGCGUCGCUAGCUGCAGGCCGUAUCACCCUAAUCGGGAACCUGCGCACAGGUAGAGCGGUUUUGAAAUGGGCUGUUGAUGUUUCUCCUGCUUUCAACAUGCGACCUAUACUAUAGUUCGGUAUAUUGUUCAUUUUUAUUAUUAAGAACAUUUACGACACAAAAUUUGCAUAGCUGGGCUGGCUACGUCGCUGCGAACGACGCGAUCAUAACGCCUAGUAGGCGUCUUGUUAUAUAUUGUUCGUUAAAAUUUCUAUAAGAUU